rnacentral:ncRNA from 1 species
GUUUGAGGACGACCUCACACCUUUUACUCUUAGUUUGAGGACGACCUCA